rnacentral:rRNA from 1 species
CGCAACCCUUGUCCUUAGUUACAGCACGUUAUGUGGGCACUCUAAGGAGACUGCCGGUGGACAAACCGGAGGAAGGUGGGGAUGACGUCAAGUCCUCAUGGCCUUUAUGACCAGGGCUACACACGUACUACAAUGGCCGAUACAAAGGGCAGCGACACUGCGAGGUGAAGCCAAUCCCGUAAAAUCGGUCUCAGUCCGGAUUGGAGUCUGCAACUCGACUCCAUGAAGUUGGAAUCGCUAGUAAUCGUGGAUCAGCAUGCCACGGUGAAUACGUUCCCGGGCCUU